ACAGAGUGCUUCAAAGCAGGGACAGGGAAUACCGCUGACUGCACGACACCGUGCUAAGGCUCUGGAGAAAGAACCGUGUCCACUCCCCAGCUCUGUCUGCCAAGAGUGACAAUCAGCAAAACAUGAACUUUCCGGUGAAAUGCUGAGAACAACAACCCAAAACAGUGAAAAUUUCAGAACUGCCAUGCCCUCACAAAACAAAGAGACACCCUGAGACCUCCUGUCCAUAUUUCCAUGUCAAAGUGACAAGCGUGUGCCUGACCCUGUGAUACCGCAAAGUGCCUCUGAAACGGACCCCUCCAACCUGGCACUCGGGACAGUCAGAGGUCUUCAGAAGGAUUUAUCUGCGUGUUCUGGAGGGCAGCGGUGCAG
ensembl:lncRNA